UACGGAGGGUGCGAGCGUUUGUCCGGAAUCACUGGGCGUAAAGGGCGCGUAGGCGGCCUGAUAAGUAGGGGGUGAAAUCCUGCGGCUUAACCGCAGGGCUGCCUUCUAAACUGUCAGGCUAGAGCACAGUAGAGGCAGGUGGAAUUCCCGGUGUAGCGGUGAAAUGCGUAGAUAUCGGGAGGAACAUCAGUGGCGAAGGCGGGUCUCUGGGCCGAUACUGACGCUGAGGAGCGAAAGCGUGGGGAGCGAACAGG
rnacentral:rRNA from 1 species